UGGGCGGCGUGCUUAACACAUGCAAGUCGAGCGGUAAGGCCUUUCGGGGUACACGAGCGGNGAACGGGUGAGUAACACGUGGGUGAUCUGCCCUGCACUUCGGGAUAAGCCUGGGAAACUGGGUCUAAUACCGGAUAUGACCUCAGGUUGCAUGACUUGGGGUGGAAAGAUUUAUCGGUGCAGGAUGGGCCCGCGGCCUAUCAGCUUGUUGGUGGGGUAAUGGCCUACCAAGGCGACGACGGGUAGCCGACCUGAGAGGGUGACCGGCCACACUGGGACUGAGACACGGCCCAGACUCCUACGGGAGGCAGCAGUGGGGAAUAUUGCACAAUGGGCGAAAGCCUGAUGCAGCGACGCCGCGUGAGGGAUGACGGCCUUCGGGUUGUAAACCUCUUUCAGCA
rnacentral:rRNA from 1 species